rnacentral:rRNA from 1 species
AUUAAACGCUGGCGGCAUGCCUUACACAUGCAAGUCGAACGGCAGCACGGGGGCAACCCUGGUGGCGAGUGGCGGACGGGUGAGUAAAGCAUCGGAACGUAUCCUGGAGUGGGGGGAUAACGUAGCGAAAGUUACGCUAAUACCGCAUAUUCUGUGAGCAGGAAAGCAGGGGAUCGCAAGACCUUGCGCUCUGGGAGCGGCCGAUGUCGGAUUAGCUAGUUGGUGGGUAAAGGCCUACCAAGGCGACGAUCCGUAGCGGGUCUGAGAGGAUGAUCCGCCACACUGGGACUGAGACACGGCCCAGACUCCUACGGGAGGCAGCAGUGGGGAAUUUUGGACAAUGGGCGCAAGCCUGAUCCAGCCAUGCCGCGUGAGUGAAGAAGGCC